rnacentral:rRNA from 1 species
CCCUUAGAUGCUCUGGGCCGCACGCGUGCUACACUGAGUGGAUCAGCGGGUCAGGUUGCGCGAAAGUGUUUCCUAAUCUUGAAAUCCGCUCGUGAUGGGGAUUGACGGUUGCAAUUUUCCGUCAUGAACGAGGAAUACCUUGUAAGCGCGGGUCAUCAUCCCGCGCUGAAUACGUCCCUGCCCUUUGUACACACCGCCCGUCGCUCCUACCGAUUGAGUGGUCCGGUGAGGCUUUGGGAUCUGAGCGGAAAGAGCGUUUCGCUGUUUCUGCUCGGAAAACUCAGUCGAACCUUAUCAUUUAGAGGAAGGAGAAGUCGUAACA